rnacentral:lncRNA from 1 species
UUUUUAUUUUCGGGGGGUGGCGGAUGUGCUGUUCUGUCAUCUCCCACUUUCCCAUCACCUGAUUCCUCCACCUGUCCACACGUGCCUGACUCCAUCACAUGCCGGGGCCGGACUGCGCUCUUCCCACGCCUGGUGGAAUGGUCGCUGGGCACUCCCAGUCGCUGGAGGAGCCGCUACUAUGGAAAAGGACGCUACGGCCACCCUGACUUUAAGAGCUCCUGUCCGAUUCUGGAGGAAUACAUUAACAGCAGCAAAGUUGUACCCCGGUUUGAAAGGUUUGGCUUGGGCGUCCUGGAGUCCAGUAAUCCAAAGAUGUAGCCAGCCAUAUGGUUUUUCGCUGCUGAUCUCUUUCUUUUUAAAAUGUGUUUCUGAAACAUCCCAACAACCACCACGACAAAAAAACACUGCCUGCCCAGCGCUGCAAACCAGGAGCACACGUCCUAGAUUCAGACUGUUGGCCAUAAACCCCACUCGGGAGAUGGAGCUGCACCUGCUAUUUCUUAAAAUGACACCACCAACAACCAAACCUGUCAUGACAGACAGCAAAUGUUUACACGUAUAUUUCUCCUGAGUGAACCUGAUGUUUUACAAUAGGUAAUAAUAAAAACAGUCUGUGCAGAUGCACUGGCACUGACGGCCAGGAUGGCGGAAAUGGCCAUCCCCUCUGAGGACCUUGUAGGCGGUGAGGGACCCAUGCUGGGCCAGAAGGAAGACAAACAUGGUAAUUGCAGCUGUUCUUGGGGUAGGG